GAUGAACGCUGGCGGCGUGCCUAAUACAUGCAAGUCGAGCGAACGGACGAGAAGCUUGCUUCUCUGAUGUUAGCGGCGGACGGGUGAGUAACACGUGGAUAACCUACCUAUAAGACUGGGAUAACUUCGGGAAACCGGAGCUAAUACCGGAUAAUAUUUUGAACCGCAUGGUUCAAAAGUGAAAGACGGUCUUGCUGUCACUUAUAGAUGGAUCCGCGCUGCAUUAGCUAGUUGGUAAGGUAACGGCUUACCAAGGCAACGAUGCAUAGCCGGCCUGAGAGGGUGAUCGGCCACACUGGAACUGAGACACGGUCCAGACUCCUACGGGAGGCAGCAGUAGGGAAUCUUCCGCAAUGGGCGAAAGCCUGACGGAGCAACGCCGCGUGAGUGACGAAGGUCUUCGGAUCGUAAAACUCUGUUAUUAGGGAAGAACAUAUGUGUAAGUAACUGUGCACAUCUUGACGGUACCUAAUCAGAAAGCCACGGCUAACUACGUG
rnacentral:rRNA from 1 species